rnacentral:lncRNA from 1 species
CUCCCAAAGUGCUGGGAUUACAGGUGCACUCAAUAUUUAAACAACACUUUAUGUUGGUUAAAAACAACAAUGAUUCCUGGGCAUUGAUCUUUCCAUUUAGAACAGAACACGAGAGAUUCACACUCUCAGACGCUCAAUCUAGGGGAUAUCUCCCAAAUGAUGACUAACCAAACUGGUGAGUGUCCAUCUCCAAAAUGCGCCCCCUCCUCUUGCCUGGGCUGCCCCUUCUGCCUGCUUCCUCCUCGCUUGCUCCGGAGAGCAACCAAACCUCCAACCCACAGUGCCAGUAGCUCUAUCUCUUCCCCAGUACAUCCUUUCUCCUUUCUAAAGCCCACGCCUCCUUUUCCUUUCUAGCACCAUUCAUUCCACCUCAGAAAAAAGUUUUCUUAUAAAAACCUAUCCAUCUAUUCUCUUUAAUCAUCCCCCUCUUUCUCCUUCUUCUGGUUCUUUUCCUGUGAUCACAGGAAUGUUUUUCCCUUUCCCUUUCUAUUUGUUCUUCCGUAAAUCACUAGAAUGAUUCUAAUAAAGGUUAAUGAGUAAAAAAUUGUCCUGAUAAUGUCAAGGAAAGGGAAAUGUGUCCCUAGUACACAAAUAUAGACAUAGCACAGUGCUAAUGCUGUAUGACUGGGGAAGGUCACCAAGUAGUGUAAUUUUCUAUUUUUAACCAGCACCAUAUAUAUACACGUUAUAAACUUUUCUUAGAGGUGUUUUUUUUUUCCACAAUAAAAAUAAAAAACUAAACUAAAACUAAAGAGCCCAUACCAUUAGCCUCUAAACCCUUGAAAAUUCUCUCAACUUCCCUUUAAAACAUUCUCAAAAGUCUAUGUCUUCUACCUCCACUAAUUAAAUAUAAGGUUUCUCAAGUGCAAACAUUCAUGAACUUUAGAACUUAUUUUUAAGUUAGUUAUGUUGUUUUUCUAGGUUUUAGAAAUUACUGCUAGUUUGGAAAAUGGUUCUCAAUGAACCUUGGAAUGCAAGAAUAGGAACUGAGUCAGAAUGUUCCAUUGUCAAUGACGGUCCAAUUGUGACAAAGAGCAUGGCUUUUGGAGUGAUUCUGAGCUAUGUUUGAAUCCUGACUCCAGCAUUUACUGGCUGUGUGACUUUGAAACCUCUGGAGUGUUCUAACUGGCAAAAACAAUGGUACUUUGCGGUUUUGAGCCUGGGAAACCUAAAAAAAACUUUGGCAAUUGUGUCUCUUCUCACUUCAUGGCUCUGGAAAACAAGAAGACUGCUCAGCUUGACUCCAAGAAUUCCACCUUCCCCUAAAAAUGAGGAAGAUAGGGCUCCAUGUGCAUGUACCACAAUCCCAUCAGCAAUAGUCAGUUGGAGCAGAGGAUUUUUAGGCUGGAUAAAGGAGCAUCUUACCCUUCCCAGGACAGACUAGUCGGCCUCUGCAGUCUGACUAAAAACCAAGGAGACCAAAUGUGAAGUCAGCGUGGGACACAAGAGAUUCGAGCGGGAGUCAUGAAAGCACGGAGAGCUGUGUCUCAGGAAAGGCAGCGCUAAUGGAGAUGGGUCAGAUGGGAACUGAAAGCAGACAGUGAGGCGUGGAGGCUCCUGCCACAGCCUGUGAAACAGUGAAUGAAAUGCAGCCUCAGUGAAAGCAGUGGUGCUGUGGUGAAGAGGAGGAGGCAGAUUCUCAUGCUGUCGGACAGGAUGCUUGUCCAGGUGGAAGUGGAGAGUGAAAGAGAGGGGUCAGGUAACUCUGAAGUUUCUUGCCUGAAUAACUGAAAGGAUGAAAUACACUUUCAGAGAAAACAAUUGUGGUGAGUGCUAGUUUGUGCAGUUACGAGAAUUAAUUCACUUCAAGUAACAAACCUGUACAUGGACCCUCGAAUCUAAAAUAAAAUUUAAAAUUAUUUUUAAGAAAGUAAAAACAAAAAAGAAGUAAUUAAUUAAAAAGUUAAAGAUUAGAUCUAUGGAUCAUUGGGCAAACUGUAGACAAAACAGCCUAGAUGACUGAAAUUUUUGCUUUUUGGUCCAUCAUGGGGGCAUCAGCUGGAUACAAACCAAAACGUGCUCACCUAUAACCAGCUAAUAAUUCCUCCAAAAACACCCUUGGCUGAUAGGUUUGGCUUGAGUGGUCAUUGAAGACUGCUAAAUUGUAGGCUUCUAAUAUAAGGAGGAAUAGAAAAAGGUAGCAAUUGCUUUAAAGGUAAAGGAGGCCAUGGAUAUUUUUUCCUGGACAGAUCAUAUUUUGAAGGACUAAAUGAUAAAGCCUUAGUAAGGAUGGACUUAUUCCUUCUUUUGUUCAUGCCUUUUGCUUUUCCAUUUGUUUUUAGUUUUUAAUUUCUUAUGGAUCAGGUAUUUAUGUGUUGAUUGUGGAUUAAUUUUUAAAAUAACGCUAUUCCCCUCCUUUGACCCUGAAAGAUCAAUUCUGUCUUUCAAACAAGACCACAUCCAAUUGGAAUACUAAGAAAUUUUUUCUGGUCAUGUCGGAUUCUUACGUGCAGUGUUUUUGUUUUGUGUUGUUUUAUUUGAGCAUGAUACUAAAACUACCCUGGAAAUCACUCCCUGAAAAUAGAACACUCUCGGGAAUUACAGGGGUUUAUAAUUAAAAUAUGUUAUAAGUGGGUGGCGAAGUGGCCACAUUUUGUCCUCUUAAAUUUGAAUUUCACUUCCAUCAUGAGCCCAUAUCAUUGGGGACUUCAGUCUGUAGUUGAGAAGGAACAGGGCUGUAAUGUGUGAAAACACAUUUCCCUAAACUGCAUUCACUAAAAGUACCACUUUCUAUCACUAAAAGCAAGCUAGAACGCAUAAUCGUUGUCAUUGGUUAUGUUUCGAAACUGGCCCUAUGUAAAACAUGAAUGAAAUUGCAUUUGCUUGGGAAAGGUUUUUAUUGUUAUGUUUAAACCCAUAAAUGAGAUUUUUAAAAAAUGUAUAUUACAACUAAUCUAAUGAAUUUUUAUUGAAUAAUUUUAUUCUUUCUCUCUCUUCUCUACGGAAUGUGGGUUUUUGUUUUUCUUGUUCUCCAACACAAACUGCCAGCCAUGGCCUACCAGGAUCUUUUCCCAAACACUGCAUGUAACUUCAGAUACCAUGUCUAUUUUCCUCAGUACCCCAGACUGACAUUUCAACAAGUACUUCUCAUCAUAGCUUUUUCAGAAGCUCUGAAAAAGCAUCUGGGGGCAUACUGACAUUAUCAGAUUUUUAGGGUGGAUGAUGGAAAUAGGACAUUUGCUUUAACCCUUCCCAACAAUAAAGCAAGAAACCAACGAACUGUCUUCCUACGUCAAUCAAGCCGAAUUGAUUCUGAAAUUUAUCUCUUCACAGUGUAUGAUGGGUGAGUGUGGCAAUUCACAAUCACAAAUGCUGUUGGAAUUCAUUGCAAACCUCAAUGGCUUGUGUGAUCUAGGCCUAAUCUGGUGGUCCAAUGCCAUUGGUCUUCAUGUUCCAAAGGGGGAUUGGCAGCCCAUAUGGGGUUUUCAGGGCACUGGACAGCCCUGUCUCACAGAAGAGAUCUUUCUCUGUGGGAUCCAUGCAUUCCCACAAUUGUUAUGAUCGUUUCAUAGUUCAUAUUCAGAGCCUUCUCAUAUAUUUCCUACACACCGCACAUGAGUUUAUUAGACCUUUUCCUGAGGAUAGGCGGAAGCAGAGAAUAUUGGGCAAGAAGGAUGGAGAGCAGAGUCUUCAGGCACAGGGUCCUGGAGAUUAGGGACAAACUUUGGCCCCUGACAAUUUUGCAUAAGUUCAGCUCUGGCACAAGUCUACCAUGUUGAGGUUAGCCAAUCUGAGUUAACCGAGAACACACUGGGAGAGAAUUACUCGCCUUUUGUUAUUUCUGAAACCUGAACUGCUUUUAGAAAUAAAGGCUGGAAUGUUCCAUAGGAACUCGGAGCAUGGGGCACGGGCAUGGCACACACUCGGUUGGGCUAUUUAAAAACCAGUCCCUUGGCUUCCCUCUGUGAUUCUAAAUACGUGAAAUCACAUUACCCUGCAGCAGCCGGUAACUAUUUCUAUAACAUUGUCCAGCAUCUGUGCUUGCCGUGACUGGGUCCACCCAACAAAAACAAAGUGGAGAUGUGGUAAUUGAUUAGGUUAAUCACUCCAGGCUUUCUGUGCCACAGCUAAUGUCCAUCUAGUGUCUACUGACACUACUCCUGGAAUUUUAAGGACUGAUCUAUGUAACUAGAUCUAUGUAACUUCCUAGGGGAAGGGAGGUGCCUUAGCAUAUCAAAAGGAUGCUUUUUAAAAGAGCUAUUUAUUCAUUUAACAAGUGAGGACCAGAAACACAAUUUAUCACUUUCUCAGAGACAGCAAAUUCUUAUCCUAUGGAAGGAUCCCAGCAUUAGAGACUCUGCCCCUUUCUGUGGGAAAGAAUCUAUCUUUUUUGGAUUUGUUUGAUGUGCUAACUAACACUUCCCCCAGUCACACCACUAGCCAUCAAUCAAACAGAUAAACCCCUUAGGAAUAUCUAGUCAAUUGCUAAUCAUUUGAAGACAUCAGCCAGUAGAAGGGCAUUAGCCAACAUCAUUACAUAAUGUCAAAACAACUGAUCAAGUUUGUGAAUCCAAUGAAACAGUCAAACCAGUUUAGGAAUUUCAUAUACACAAAACAAUAGAUGAGUGACUUUUAGCUUUUUAGCUUGAUAUAAAAUUUUUAAACCCUACCAUUUAUAAAUGUGUAAGCAUUUGGCACACCCUAUGCCAAGUGUUUUAUCUACUUAAACCUUGGAAGUAUGUGUUCUCACUUCCAUUUUAAAGAUAAGAAGACUGAGGCUUAGUGAGAUAUACUAAUCUGCACAAGACUACAUGUUUAGGUUCUAUGAGUGGCAGGGUGAGGUUUAAACACUUGUCUCUCCAACGUCCACUCCAUGCUGUUUGCCUCUGUGUAUGUAACUUCAAACAGCCAAAAUGGCCAAGUAAGGCAAGAAAAUAAAAAAAUAAAAAACAAACAAGUGAAAGGCCUGGGUCCUGAAUCAUGCAGUUAAGAUAGCCAAGACUCAGCUGAUCCACAAUUGUCUAAUUCUGCCCAUAUCCGUCCAGCUACAAACCAAGUCUGCGACCUGAUACCUGAGUCCUGGGAGACCUCUUGACCCCCAUGUGAUACCGCUGUAAGGACUAGGACUCCAAUUGCCAAACAUUACACAUCAGAACAAAUUUUAUGUGUUCCAUUAUGCCUGUGAACAGAUCUGAUUUCUUAGUCAAAUAUUAUUUUUUUGAAUAUUUUCAGGCAUAGACUGAGUAUGUGGUUCCCUUGUGGCCAACUCAAAACAUAUAGCAGAGAGUAAUCCUUUGCACUAUCCUAUAUUAAUAUUUUCUUUCCCUCCUUGUAAUGGAACUAGUUAUAAAUUAGAUGAGAUUAAAAAACAGUCUCUUGAGAAUUAACAUUUUAAGGAAUUACCUAGAAAGAGCUGAGGUGUUUUUUUUCCCCACAUGGUAAAUCAUACAGAGUAGCAGCCUGCCCCAGAUCCCCGGAGACAACAUCUUGAGCGCAUAUGUUAUGCUGGGUUCUGUAUUGACUAAUUCAAAAACUCCAGGGCAAAAGAACCCAAGUUCCCAAGUUAAAAAUGAAAGUAAAAUAGUGGAAUGGAAUUGGGAUCAUUGUUGCAAGAUUCCAACAACUUCAUAAAUAGCCAUUAAAGUAGACAGCAUGACAGGUUAACAGAUUUACCAUUGUAAGAAUCAACCUGCACUGUUGGUGUGAAGUCGCAAACAAACCCAUCUACCUCUCACUUUACGGAUAUUCUGUUUUCUCAGAAAUAGAAUCACAUUUGACAAAAUUAAUAUUGAGAUCAUUUUACUAGAAGGCUUAUCCAAAUAUAUGCCAUAUUAAAAAUAGUCAUGA